rnacentral:rRNA from 1 species
ACGCUCGACACCUACGGGGCAGCAGUGGGGAAUAUUGCACAAUGGGGGAAACCCUGAUGCAGCGACGCCGCGUGAGCGAAGAAGUAUUUCGGUAUGUAAAGCUCUAUCAGCAGGGAAGAUAAUGACGGUACCUGACUAAGAAGCUCCGGCUAAAUACGUGCAAGCAGCCGCGGUAAUCUGAGCGGGCUGGCAAGGC